ACUUUCUCUAGGCCUCACUUCUGAAAGCUUCCAGAGCCUUUCAUUAGACCAUGAACUGGCAACCAUGUUUGUAAUCUCAAAGCCCUUGGGGAAUACUCGAUAACUAAGCUAAAGCAAUGAAUAUUAAAAAGUAAUCUGGGUAUGGCAGCACAUGCUUUGACCCUAGCACUUGAGAGACAGAGGCAGUUUGGUCUACAGCACAAGUUCUAGGCCAACCAGGGUUAUAGAGUAGCCUUGUCUCAACAAAGCAACAUAAACAAAUAAACAACACCCCAGUAAGUUUAGGGGCAGGGAAAUGGCUCACUGGGUUAGAUAGUUUGAUGUGUAAGUGUGAGGGCCGGAAUUUGAAUCUCUGGUCUCCUUGUAAACAUCUGAGCAUGACUCCAUGUGCCCAGUGUAGAGGCAGAUCACAGCAAGUCUAGCCAAUGGGCAAACUUCAGGUUCAGUGAGAAACCGCAUCUCCAGGAUGGAAGGAAGAGAGCAAUGCAGGGAAAUACCCAGUGUCCUGCUGUGGCCUCCACAUGACCAGGGCUUGCUGCUUAGGGAGAAGGGCUGAGCUGCUGGUUCAUAAGUUCGGCAGAAUGUUCUGGAGAAAGGAAAUCAUGUGUCAGUGUGGCAAGGAAAAGGGAAAUUCAACUUAACUGUCCGGUUGCCCAAAGACCCAGAUGAAGCUUUAGUCUCUAAGGAGGCAGUUCCAGAAAAGGAUUCCAAGACUAAAAAAGGCACUGCAGGAAAAGGUA